GAAGAAAUGACUGUGGUGGCUUUCUCAGACUCUGUGGGAAAGGCCUCUACCUAUCCAGUGAAAGUGUCUACCCAGACCAAGAGAUCGCUUCUUGACCUGCACAACUUUCUGAUUUGAUGAGUUCAACAGAAACCAACUCAAGGGAGAAGAAUAAAGACAUUGUUGAACUUAGACUUUGACAAGAUGCAUAUUGGAUAUCUAAAUAGAGAUAUCAAGAAAUGAAGAUAUGCAUUUCCAGUUCCAGAGAGAAAUUCACACUGGAAAUAUAAAUUUAGGAAUUUUAAAGUUAGUGGUCACAUUUAAAGCUGCAGAAUACAAAGAGAUCACCUGUGUGAGAGAACUGAGUCCUGAAACAUACCCGUGUUUAAAGAUCUGGGAGGUGCAGAGGAAUUAUCAAAGGAGGCUGAGAAGGAGCAGCCAGUGAGGUGUGUAGAAAAACAAGAUAAGCAAAAAGAAAAGCAAGAGAUAUGGAACUGAACUUCCCUUUGGCAAAAAAUUUAGAAAAUGAUAAUGAGGAACAUCGAUUUCAGCAUACCUUAAACCUUUUGAACAGACUUGUCGAUACUCUCUUGGAAAAGUAUUUUUAAAAAUAGAAUUGAAUAUUUUUAAACUUUCAUCCCAAUAGAAAGCUAAAGUUAAUGAGGAAACUUGGAUUCAUUUCACAAAACGUUGCUUGUAAGCUAUUUUGCUUGGCUACAUGUUCCCUGGACAAACCCAAAAGACUGGUAUAAAUUCCAAUACUG
rnacentral:lncRNA from 10 species